CUUACUAACAAGAUCAGUGGUAGUUAUGUAUAAUAUGGAGCUGUUCAUCACCUUCUGCCAUGGCCCUUCUGGAAGGAGAAUGUAAUUGGACGCCUUUUUUGCAACAGAAGUAACUGCCGUUGCCCUUCUGAACUCACCCGGAUACCGAUAUUCUUUCCUUUACACCUCAAGCAUUCACCAAAAGAAGAAAAACAAAAUUCUUUUUUUUUUUUCUUCUUCUUCUUGAAGAUAUGGCCGGAGAAA